GGUUGUGGCUCAGUGGUAGAGUUCUCGCCUAGCACGGGUGAGGCACUGGGUUCAAUCCUCAGCAUAAAAAUCA
rnacentral:tRNA from 1 species